rnacentral:rRNA from 1 species
UACGUAGGGUGCAAGCGUUGUCCGGAAUUAUUGGGCGUAAAGAGCUCGUAGGCGGUUUGUCGCGUCUGCUGUGAAAACUCGGGGCUUAACCCCGGGCCUGCAGUGGGUACGGGCAGACUAGAGUGCGGUAGGGGAGACUGGAAUUCCUGGUGUAGCGGUGAAAUGCGCAGAUAUCAGGAGGAACACCGGUGGCGAAGGCGGCAUCCUGGACCGGUAUUGACGCUGAGGCGCGAAAGCCAGGGGAGCAAACGGG